rnacentral:rRNA from 1 species
UACGUAGGGUGCAAGCGUUUAAUCGGAAUUACUGGGGCGUAAAGCGUGCGCAGGCGGUUGUGCAAGACAGAUGUGAAAAUCCCCCGGGCUCAACCUGGGAAUUGCAUUUGUGACUGCACGGCUAGUAGUGUGUCAGAGGGGGGGUAAGAAUUCCACGUGUAGCAGUGAAAUGCGUAGAGAUGUGGAGGAAUACCGAUGGCGAAGGCAGCCCCCUGGGGAUAAACACUGACGCCUCAGGCACGAAAGCGUGGGGAGCAAA